rnacentral:rRNA from 1 species
UACGUAGGCAGCAAGCGUUGUUCGGAGUUACUGGGCGUAAAGGGUGUGUAGGCGGUUCUUUAAGUUUGGUGUGAAAUCUCCCGGCUCAACUGGGAGGGUGCGCCGAAUACUGAGGGACUAGAGUACGGGAGAGGAAAGUGGAAUUCCUGGUGUAGCGGUGAAAUGCGUAGAUAUCAGGAGGAACACCGGUGGUGUAGACGGCUUUCUGGACCGUAACUGACACUGAGGCACGAAGGCCAGGGGAGCAAACGGG